CGACGACGGAGACUGUGAGUGUUUCGACGAGCAGACGGCACAAACGCGCCCGUUACAGGGAGAAUCCAGAGCGUGGAGCGGCUGUGAUGAUGUUACCGAGGAGAAAGAGACGAGAGGAAAUCAGCACGCACCGGAACAGCGCCACAAGAAAACACUGUGUCCACCGGCGUUUUGCGUCAGAGAGUCAACAUCAGCACGGACUGAGAGCGCACCCAAAGGACAGGCUUCAUUGGCCCCAGAGACAAACGCAUCUAUCUGUUACUGUGUGGCCUCCUUGGCUCCAAUGCCAUGAUCCUGCUCUUCUACGCUGUGCAGCAGAUGCCUUUAGCAGACGCCACUGUCAUCAUGUUCAGGUCAUCGUCCAUUUGAAAGACACAUUUGCAUCCAAGUUCUAACUUCCUGGCAGAUGUCUUCCGCAUAAUGUUCUUUCCACAUGAUGCCAUCUAUUUUGUCAAGUGCACCAGUCCCUGCCACCCCCGUAUUUCACAAUUCGGAUGGUGUUCUCUGGCUUGCUAGCUUCCCCCUUUUUCCUCCAAACGUAAAGAUGCUCAUUAUGGCCAAACAGUUCAAUUUUAGUUUCAUCCAACCACAGGACAUGUC
ensembl:lncRNA